AAAAGACUUAGUCCUAACCUUACCGUUAAUUCUUACCUAACAUAUACAUGCAAGUAUCCGCGAUCCAGUGUAAAUGCCCUUAAUCUCCCGCUACGGAUAAAAGGAGCGGGCAUCAGGCACACCCACAGUUGUAGCCCAAGACGCCUUGCUUAGCCACACCCCCACGGGUAUUCAGCAGUAAUUAACAUUAAGCAAUAAGUGUAAACUUGACUUAGUUAAGGUAACUCAGGGUUGGUAAAUCUUGUGCCAGCCACCGCGGUCACACAAGAAACCCAAAUUAACGGCCACACGGCGUAAAGAGUGGUACCAUGAUAUCAUUACAACUAAGAUUAAAAUGCAAUUGAGCUGUCAUAAGCCCAUAAUGCCCUUAAGGCCUACACAGAACUGAUCUUAGAGCCCAUUGACUAAUUAAGCUCCACGAAAGCUAAGGCCCAAACUGGGAUUAGAUACCCCACUAUGCUUAGCCCUAAAUCUUGAUGUUUACCCUACCAAAACAUCCGCCUGGGAACUACGAGCACAAACGCUUAAAACUCUAAGGACUUGGCGGUGCCCCAAACCCACCUAGAGGAGCCUGUUCUGUAAUCGAUAACCCACGAUAUACCCGACCACCUCUCGCCAGGGCAGCCUACAUACCGCCGUCGCCAGCUCACCUUUUCUGAGAGUGCAAUAGUGAGCACAAUAGCUUCAAUCCGCUAGUAAGACAGGUCAAGGUAUAGCCAAUGGGGUGGAAGUAAUGGGCUACAUUUUCUAGUUAUAGAAAAUCUCUACGAAAGAGUGUGUGAAAUCACACCCGGAAGGCGGAUUUAGCAGUAAAAUGGGAUAAUAAUGCCCGUUUUAAGUUGGCCCUGGGGCACGUACAUACCGCCCGUCACCCUCCUCACAAGCUACCAAUCCCAUAUCAUUAAUGCACUAGCAAGCUGAAGAUGAGGUAAGUCGUAACAAGGUAAGUGUACCGGAAGGUGCACUUAGCACACC
rnacentral:ncRNA from 1 species